rnacentral:misc_RNA from 1 species
UAACAAGAUAAAGUAGUAGUGGUGGUAAUGGAAGUGACAAUGAUUAAGUAGUGAUAGUGAUGGUAUAACAGGUAAAAGUAACGAUAGCGGUGACAGUAUAGAGUAAUAAUGUAAUAACAGUAUUGGACGGAUAGUAGUAAUAAUGGUAGUGGUGACAGUGUAGAGUAAUAAUGUAAUAACAGUAUUGGACGGAUAGUAGUAAUAAUGGUAGUGGUGACAGUG